GACGAACGCUGGCGGCGUGCUUAACACAUGCAAGUCGAACGGAAAGGCCCUGCUUUUGUGGGGUGCUCGAGUGGCGAACGGGUGAGUAACACGUGAGUAACCUGCCCUUGACCUUGGGAUAACUUCAGGAAACUGGGGCUAAUACCGGAUAGGAGCUCCUGCUGCAUGGUGGGGGCUGGAAAGUUUCGGCGGUUGGGGAUGGACUCGCGGCUUAUCAGCUUGUUGGUGGGGUAGUGGCUUACCAAGGCUUUGACGGGUAGCCGGCCUGAGAGGGUGACCGGCCACAUUGGGACUGAGAUACGGCCCAGACUCCUACGGGAGGCAGCAGUGGGGAAUAUUGCACAAUGGGCGGAAGCCUGAUGCAGCAACGCCGCGUGCGGGAUGACGGCCUUCGGGUUGUAAACCGCUUUCGCCUGUGACGAAGCGUGAGUGACGGUAAUGGGUAAAGAAGCACCGGCUAACUACGUG
rnacentral:rRNA from 1 species